rnacentral:rRNA from 1 species
UACCAGCACCCCGGGUGGUCGGGACGUUUAUUGGGCCUAAAGCAUCCGUAGCCGGUUCUACAAGUCUUCCGUUAAAUCCAACUGCUUAACAGGUGGGCUGCGGAAGAUACUAUAGAGCUAGGAGGCGGGAGAGGCAAGCGGUACUCGAUGGGUAGGGGUAAAAUCCGUUGAUCCAUUGAAGACCACCAGUGGCGAAGGCGGCUUGCCAGAACGCGCUCGACGGUGAGGGAUGAAAGCUGGGGGAGCAAACCGG